rnacentral:lncRNA from 1 species
UGGUGAUAAUGGGCAUCCUUGUUUUAUCCCUGACCUUAUUGGAAAAGCUUCUACCUUAUCCCCAUUACAGAUAAUGUUUGUUGAUGAUUUUUUUUAAACCCUUAUCUUCCAUCUUGGAAUCAAUACUGUGUAUUAGUUCUAAGGCAGAAAAGUGGUAAGUGCUAGGCAAUGGGGGCUAAGUAACUUGCCCAGGGUCACACAGCUAGGAAGUGUCCAGAGGCCAGAUUUGAACCUAGGACCUCCCAUCUCUAGGCCUGGCUCUUAAUCCACUGAGCUACCUAGCUGCCCCCUGUUGAUGAUUUUAAAUAGAUACUAUUUAUCAUUUUAAGGAUAGCUCCAUUUAUUCCCUUUGUUUGGCUUUUAAAAUCCUUUAUAACCUCAUCCCUUUCUACCUUUUCAAUCUUUUUUUUAAACCCUUACAUUCUAUCUCAGAGUCAAUACAAAGUCAUGGCUCUAAGACAGGAGAAAAGGUUAACAUUGGUUACACCAACAAAAAUAAGAUAUCAGAUCAGGAAUUUCAGGAGCUGAUGAAAAGUCUGCCAGUUUGUGUUCAAAAAAUCCAAUGGGAAAGACCGGAGAGUGUCCUUAUCUAGCCCAGAGCAGCACAAAACGGCAGCCAGCAACCUGCAGGCCAUAGACAAGAAAUUCCACCAGAAAAGUCAGCCCAAGUCCAGGAAAACAAGACAGAAGCCCACCUGGAUAGAGCAGAGAUGUUCCAAGGGACCUCGAGGCUUGCAACAAUCUAUAAAAGUGGAGGAAGUGAGUGAGGAAGCUCCAAAGUGGUUGGAAACCACAACUUUCUGACCUCAGAUAAAGGUUGAGAGGCAACAGCACCUACACCAGGAUGACAUCCUUCAAACCAAAAUAUUCCCAGGGCCUCUAGAAGUCUGCUGCAACACUCUGAAUUGAGACAGUCCUGGAGGCCUUAAAGAUCCAACAAGUGACCUCCAACAAUUUGAGGGGGCCUGAAACCUACCAGGACUCUAUGGUCAGUCACCUCAAGGGAAGUGGAAGUCCCCAUCAGGAGACUAGCUAUGCAGAAUUAGCCCUGUCACAAAAUGUCAUUUCGGGAGCUGAAGGUCAAGAGAUGAGUAAAGAGUAAAGAGAAAAGUCACCAAAACUUAUGGAUAAAUAUUA